GGGGAAACACCGGUUCUCGUACGAUCACCGAAGUUAAGCAACGUCAAGCCUUGUCAGUACCUAGAUGGGUGACCGCUUGGGAAUACC